rnacentral:antisense_RNA from 1 species
UGUAACAAAGUUGCCAUAGCGAUUCUCCUUCUGAUAACGCAUAAGGAGACAGUGUAAAUCUUUUAACGCAUUGGAUACAGGGAAGAAACAGAGGAAAAAAGAAGAGAGAAGACCAGAUUAAGAAAAUCUGGUGCGUCCGAGUGGACUCGAACCACCGACCCCCACCA